ensembl:misc_RNA Metazoa_SRP Metazoan signal recognition particle RNA
GCUGGGCAUGGUGGCUCAUGCCUGUAAUCCCAGCACUUUGGGAGGCCGAGGUGGGCGGAUCACCUGAGGUCAGGAGUUCAAGACAAGCCUGGCCAACAUGGUGAAACCCCAUCUCUA